rnacentral:rRNA from 1 species
UACGUAGGGUGCGAGCGUUGCCCGGAUUUAUUGGGCGUAAAGGGCGCGUAGGCGGUGAGAUGCGUCCGUUGUGAAAUCGCCCGGCUCAACUGGGCGGGGUCAGCGGAUACGGUCUCACUCGAGCAAGCUAGGGGGCAAUGGAAUUCCCGGUGUAGUGGUGGAAUGCGUAGAGAUCCGGAGGAACACCAGUGGCGAAGGCGGCUCUCUGGUACGUGACUGACGCUGAGACGCGAAAGCGUGGGGAGCGAACAGG